UAGGGAAUCUUCGGCAAUGGACGAAAGUCUGACCGAGCAACGCCGCGUGAGUGAAGAAGGUUUUCGGAUCGUAAAACUCUGUUGUUAGAGAAGAACAAGGACGUUAGUAACUGAACGUCCCCUGACGGUAUCUAACCAGAAAGCCACGGCUAACUACGUGCCAGCAGCCGCGGUACUACGUAGGUGGCAAGCGUUGUCCGGAUUUAUUGGGCGUAAAGCGAGCGCAGGCGGUUUCUUAAGUCUGAUGUGAAAGCGCCCGGCUCAACCGGGGAGGGUCAUUGGAAACUGGGAGCCUUGAGUGUAGAAGAUGAGAGUGGAAUUCCAUGUGUAGGGCUGAAAUGCAUAGAUAUAUGGAGGAACUACAGUGGCGAAGGCUGCUAACUAGUCUGUUACUGACGAUGAGGCUCGAAAGCGUGGGGAGCAAACAGG
rnacentral:rRNA from 1 species